GACGAACGCUGGCGGCGUGCUUAACACAUGCAAGUCACGGGGGCCCAGCAAUGGGUAACCGGCGAACGGGUGCGUAACACGUGAGCAACCUGCCGAUCUGAGGGGGGAUAGCCGGCCCAACGGCCGGGUAAUACCGCAUACGGUUCUUGAGGGACAUCCCUUGGGAACGAAACCUCCGGGGCAGAUCGAGGGGCUCGCGGCCUAUCAGCUAGUUGGCGGGGUAACGGCCCACCAAGGCGACGACGGGUAGCUGGCUGAGAGGGCGACCGGCCACACUGGGACUGAGACACGGCCCAGACUCCUACGGGAGGCAGCAGUGGGGAAUAUUGCACAAUGGGCGGAAGCCUGAUGCAGCGACGCCGCGUGAGGGAUGACGGCUUUC
rnacentral:rRNA from 1 species